UCGCUCGGGGCUGCAGGAGGACGAAGCUCCAGCCCUGCGCUACCGGGGCUCCGAGAGGCCGGAGGGCUCGGGCCCGGUUCCAGCACCGCCUCGCACGUCCGUCCUUUCCUCCGCACGUUCCAGCGCGCGAGGUUUAAUUCUUCCAUGAGAACGCACGCGGAGGAGUUGCUGUAAUCGCCACCAAACACUGCUUCUCCACACCGCAAAUAUGUACCCAGCUGUGCUCCACUUGUCCAACCAUCUUGGUAAGAGGGGGUUUUGGAUCCCUUAACUUGCUCCUUUUCCCAUUCCAGCACUCUGAGUGAAGGAUGCAGCACGAUCUUCACGCAGAAGGCAGCGCAGGGCUCCGUCCCUCUAUCUGCAGCACAGGCUUCAUAGGAUUUUAUUUCCAAGCCUUUCUGGAAUUGCCUUCUGCCUGCAACUUCGCUCUCAUUUUCUCCUGUUCCUUCAACUCGGAGCUGCUUUUUUUUUGUGUGCUCUGCUCUAGCUGGCAGAAGGUCCCUGCGACACUCCUGUACGGAGCACCCAUGACACAACUUCUGCACAAUGAUCCACUGAAGCAGAACGGCAAUAUUUAAAGGGAAAACACCAAGAACAUCUGAACAACAAAAAUAAUGAUACUGAAGAGAUCUGAAAAUUUUAUAUUAGAGAAGAUAUCAGGAAUGCUUUCCUACUUCUUAUGUACAUUAAACAUUUUAAUAAGUUUUAAAAA